GAAUAUUGGACAAUGGGCGCAAGCCUGAUCCAGCCAUGCCGCGUGAGUGACGAAGGCCUUAGGGUUGUAAAGCUCUUUUGGCGGGGAAGAUAAUGACGGUACCCGCAGAAUAAGCUCCGGCUAACUUCGUUCCAGCAGCCGCGGUAAUACGAAGGGAGCUAGUGUUGUUCGGAAUCACUGGGCGUAAAGCGCACGUAGGCGGACUUGUCAGUCAGGGGUGAAAUCCCGGGGCUCAACCUCGGAACUGCCUCUGAUACAGCAAGUCUUGAGUCCGGAAGAGGUGGGUGGAAUUCCUAGUGUAGAGGUGAAAUUCGUAGAUAUUAGGAAGAACACCGGUGGCGAAGGCGGCCCACUGGUCCGGUACUGACGCUGAGGUGCGAAAGCGUGGGGAGCAAACAGG
rnacentral:rRNA from 1 species